UACGUAGGGUGCGAGCGUUGUCCGGAAUUAUUGGGCGUAAAGGGCUCGUAGGCGGUUUGUCGCGUCGGGAGUGAAAACUCAGGGCUUAACCCUGAGCCUGCUUCCGAUACGGGCAGACUAGAGGUAUGCAGGGGAGAAUGGAAUUCCUGGUGUAGCGGUGAAAUGCGCAGAUAUCAGGAGGAACACCGGUGCGAAGGCGGUUCUCUGGGCAUUACCUGACGCUGAGGAGCGAAAGUGUGGGGAGCGAACAGG
rnacentral:rRNA from 1 species